GACGAACGCUGGCGGCGUGGAUUAGGCAUGCAAGUCGGACGGUAGGGCUUUAUCGUAAGAUAGAGUUUGAGAGUGGCGAACGGGUGAGUAACACGUAGGAAUCUACCCUUAAGACGGGGACAACCCGGGGAAACUUGGGCUAAUACCGGAUGAGAGUGCGAGAGAUUGCAUUUAAAAGGAUGGCGAAAGUUGUCGCUUAGGGAUGAGCCUGCGGUCUAUUAGUUAGUUGGUGAGGUAAGAGCUCACCAAGGCGAUGAUAGAUAGGCGGCCUUAACGGGUGGUCGCCCACACUGGGAUUGAGAUACGGCCCAGACUCCUACGGGAGGCAGCAGUCGAGAAUAGUCUACAAUGGCCGGAAGGCUGAUAGUGCGACGCCGCGUGAACGAGGGAGCCCUUCGGGUGUAAAGUUCUUUUCUAUACGAGCAGUGCUAUAUAUAUGGAUAGUAUAUAUAGAGGGAUAGUAGUAUAGGAAUAAGCAACGGCUAACUCCGUGCCAGCAGCCGCGGU
rnacentral:rRNA from 1 species